AGUGAACGCGGCGGCGUGCCUAAUACAUGCAAGUCGAACGGAAUUUAAAAGAGCUUGCUCUUUUAAAUUUAGUGGCGCACGGGUGAGUAAUAUAUAGCUAAUCUGCCCCUUGCUGGAGGACAACAGUUAGAAAUGACUGCUAAUACUCCAUACUCCUUUUUACCAUAAGAUAAAUCGGGAAAGAAUUUCGGCAAGGGAUGAGACUAUAUCGUAUCAGCUAGUCGGUGGGGUAACGGCCUACCGAGGCUAUGACGCGUAACUGGUCUGAGAGGAUGAUCAGUCACAUUGGAACUGAGACACGGUCCAAACUCCUACGGGAGGCAGCAGUAGGGAAUAUUGCGCAAUGGGGGAAACCCUGACGCAGCAACGCCGCGUGGAGGAUGACACUUUUCGGAGCGUAAACUCCUUUUGUUAGGGAAGAAUAAUGACG
rnacentral:rRNA from 1 species